GCCAAGCUUUACGCUCGAGGAAAACGAAACUGAACUUUACGGCACCACAGUUGUCUGAUUUGUAUGAACACACAAAACCACAUGUGUGUGCUUUUGGAUCGCAGGUUGUUAAAGAUCAACAUGUAAAUCUCACCUGAUGUAUGGGAAGAUUAAAUCGACGUCGCCCCUGAAAAUCGCGAUCAGAUAGGAAAUGAUGAAGGUGGAGGAAGACCAGACGACCAGAAACACUGGCAGGAAGCACAGACCUUGCGUGAACCAAAACAUCUCAGGGAAGUUUGUUUACGCGUUAACUUCCAGAAAACCGUGCCACCACCUGAGCAGGAGGAGAAGGAGGAGAAGGAGGAAUCCACGUCUGAUGCUGCUGAUCCAGACGCAUGGAUCAGGUUGUGCGCCUCUUCUCUGUGUGAGUCUGUUAACGACAGUCACAUGGUGGUGAUCGUCUGCAGCAGAAUGAGCUCUGCCUCUUUCCAAUAAACUCAUAUACAGUACAGCUCCGGUGACCUCUUCCCCAAAAUGACUCCGGGUGGGCUGGCGUUGCGCAAAUAAAACCACCCGUUACAUCCACAGAUCUCCUCCUCCUACUCCUCCUCCUCUUCCUCCUCCUCCUCCUUCCCAUCACUUAAACAAUUGCUGUUGAUAUUUGUACGAUCUCAGAGUCAAGAGGGGAAGGGUUCCUCCUCAAAUCCAGUCAGAAGGUGCUUUUCAAGAGAAUAAUGAUGAAAUAAAGCCACAUAAUAAGGAACUUUUCAAACCAGGUUGAGGAAUUUCCCAGUUUUAUGGGCAGAAAUAUAAAAUUUAAGAUGUGACAGAUGAUAAAAAAAGUUUAAAAACAAUUAAAUAAAAUGUUUUAAAAUGAUGUAAAUGACCCAGGAGAUGAUCAGCGCCUCGAUAAAAACAAUUCUAAAAAUAAUAACUUAUUAAGUUGGAUGGAUCUAUUUAAGGAGAUUGUUCCUAACAAGGCGUCAAGUUAGGACCAGGCAUUAAAAGUUAAUAAAGUCUUAAAAUCAUUUCUAAUAUUUAGCUCGAUGGAGAGAAGCUACAAACCGGAGUCAUGUGCUGUUGUGGUUUUGGUGAGAAGUCUGGCUGCUGCCUUUGACACAGACUAACGUGGACUCUUCCGACUCAGACGUGGAGAGUUACAGUAAUUCAGUUGAGAGGAAAUGAAAGCUUGCCUAACCGUGCUGGAAGAAGAAAUGAGCUAAACGUGAGUGAGUCAUGUGUUUAAUAUUUUACUUCUAGGUAAAAGUAGAAUAACCGAAAAACUCCGGUUGCAAAGUCUGUGGUUUGAAUUGAAAUUGGAACAGGUCCCCAAUUAGCAGACUCUUUCUCACACCUCCAACAAGGCCGACUCUCGCCAUAGUACAUAGAAAAAAUAAAAUAGUUCAUGGAAAUUGGUCCAGUAUUGAGUUAUCCUGGUAAAAGACAGAUAAAUGGACACGAAAACACAAUGCUCUCGACCAUGAGGAGUCUAGAAAUGAGUUCUGAACCCCUCGACCAAUGUCCCUCAGCCCAUUUAUCCACAAUCCAACCACAACGUGACAGUUUGAGAUAACUUGAUUGAAUCCAUUGCCACGUAUGUCGGCUAAAUAUUAAAAAUAAUACACAAAUACAGAUUUGACACAAUGGGCCUUUUUACAGGACAUGGCCAUGUGGUAAAGAAGCAGGAAAUGCAUUAAGACCCUUUACAGUCAAGGUCUAUGAAACCUAAUUUGAGCAAUUCUCCCUACAAAUUUGCAACGAAUCAAAUUACCACAAACAAUUUCACAGUUUUGAAAUGCCCUCAGUUAGUGGUACAGUCCUGGAGUGUAUAUGUUCUUGCAUGUUUUAAAUUCUUGGGUAAAUUGGGUUAAGUUUUCCACCACUGGAGUUGAGUUGACUGUAAAGACGAAGGGACAGAGCCAGUGGAACCCAGACGUCUUUCAGCUCACGCUUCUAAACACGUGUUUCUUACAUUCUGAGCCGAGUGGAGUCACUUCUGAGCCUCGGCUGUUGCUGCAGCUGAAGAUGAAACUCGCCAAAGUCUGACUUGGAUGCAACUUUAAGAAACGUUUUGCUCGGUUCCACUGUAGUGACUCAGCAGGGAGAAGCUGCAGAGGAGACAGAAAUAGUAAAACUUUGAGAUAACGGACAAUGAAAUGUUGCACUGUUGAAAUUACCCCUGCAUUUAUCAUAAUAACUGAAGGACCCAGAGUUUCAUUCUUGGCUUGAGGGAACACGUUUAACUGUUUGUGAUGAAAACAUUACAAUCAUAAUACAAAAUAAAGAGUCAGUUGAUGCCCUGAGAGAGUUUAAGGAAGUCAUGCACGUGCCAGAAACCACUUUUCGGUCACAAGAGGACACCUGAGCAAGUUCCUCUUGACAACGGUGGAGAAAUACAACAGAAAACUCUGAGGACAACUCAAAAGUUGUAACAGGAGCAGUGUGAUUAUUGUGGCCCUUGAACCAUAGACUGUAAAUAAAGAUGGACGACGCUUCUCCACUUGCUCACACUUUCCAAAAAUGAAGCCAAAAGUUGUAGCGGAUACCAACGCUGCCAUCUUGAGCCAGAAUAGUGCCAGAUCAUGCAAAUACGUUCAGGGUAUCACAGGGAAAGGGGGAGGAUCUUACUCCCCACCGGCAGAGGGCGUCAACGUGCGGCAGCAGCGAGGG